rnacentral:rRNA from 1 species
CAGCCGCCGCGGUAAUACGGAGGGUGCAAGCGUUAAUCGGAAUUACUGGGCGUAAAGCGCACGCAGGCGGUUUGUUAAGUCAGAUGUGAAAUCCCCGAGCUUAACUUGGGAACUGCAUUUGAAACUGGCAAGCUAGAGUCUUGUAGAGGGGGGUAGAAUUCCAGGUGUAGCGGUGAAAUGCGUAGAGAUCUGGAGGAAUACCGGUGGCGAAGGCGGCCCCCUGGACAAAGACUGACGCUCAGGUGCGAAAGCGUGGGGAGCAAACAGGAUUAGAUACCCCAGUAGUCCCUGUCUCUUAUAA